GACGAACGCCGGCGGCGUGCCUAAUACAUGCAAGUCGAGCGGAAGUUGAAGAGCUUGCUCUUCAACUUUAGCGGCGGACGGGUGAGUAACACGUGGGCAACCUGCCCUGCAGAUCGGGAUAACUCCGGGAAACCGGUGCUAAUACCGAAUAGUUUUCGCCACCUCCUGGUGGCGUACGGAAAGACGGUUUCGGCUGUCACUGCAGGAUGGGCCCGCGGCGCAUUAGCUAGUUGGGGGGGUAACGGCCCACCAAGGCGACGAUGCGUAGCCGACCGGAGAGGGUGAUCGGCCACACUGGGACGGAGACACGGCCCAGACUCCUACGGGAGGCAGCAGUAGGGAAUCUUCCGCAAUGGACGAAAGUCUGACGGAGCAACGCCGCGUGAGUGACGAAGGUUUUCGGAUCGUAAAACUCUGUUGUGAGGGAAGAACAAGUACCAACUAACUACUGGUACCUUGACGGUACCUCACCAGAAAGCCACGGCUAACUACGUGCCAGCCGCCGCCGUAAUAC
rnacentral:rRNA from 1 species